rnacentral:tmRNA from 1 species
GGGGGUGACAAGGUUUCGACAUGGGUUACAAAACUUGAGGUGCAUGUCGAAGAGCAGCAUACUUCGUAAAAAUUAACUGCAAACUAAGUUAUAGUCGCCAACGACGAAACUUACGCCCUAGCUGCUUAAAAACGGCUAGCCUUUGACUGAAAUGUGCUUAUGCACUCAGAGUUUGUUUUUUUUGCAAACAUUCAAAGGUCACAUUUCAUAAGCUCGCAGACAUAUACGUCAGGGAUAUUUCUGUUAAAUUUAACCUGAAUCACCAUUAGAUUAUCCUGCCUAUCGGAUAACUGAUUGGCUAGUUAAAAAGAUACGGCUAAACAUGUAGAUCCAAAAGCAGCGGACUUGUGGACGCGAGUUCGAUUCUCGCCACCUCCACCA